AUGGACAUGUCUUCUGCGUCACAGCUUGAACAAUCGAAACCCUUAAUGGAGGCAGAUGUUCAGUUCGAUUCUUGGGCAGAAAAAGCAAUACGCAAUUUCAUCUUUGAAGUUGGACUUGGGCCUCGUUUUGUCUACUUGACAUCUUUCAAGGAGAUGCUUCAAACUGUUCACAGUAGGGAUGUUGAAAUUCCUACAUAUGAAUCCAUGCUACGGGAGGAACUAAAAGAAACUCAGCACCGGGCAAUGCAACUCAAGCAAGAAUGGAAAAAAAGUGGUUGCAGUAUAAUUAUGGAUAGUUGGAAGAGCCGAUGUGGUACAAAAAGCUUCAUAAGUGUUUUGGUGCAUUGCAGCAAAGGUAUGUAUUUCCUCAGAUCGAUCGAUGUCUCUGGAAUCCUCGAGGACAUGGAUGAGCUAGUUUCAGUGUUUUCUCGUGUGGUUGAUGAUGUUGGUGCCCGCAACAUACUUCAAGUUAUCAGAAAUGAUGCGUCACCACAUAUGCAAAUGGCAUGGCAUUAUGUGCAGAAGGAACAUGACCAUUCAUUCUUCGUCCCACUGUGUGCUGACUUUUGCAUCAACCUUCUGCUUGAGAAAAUUGCAGCAUUUGAUCACGUCAGUGAGGUUCUAAGGAAGGCAAAGGAAAUAACAAGGUUUAUAUAUGGCAAUGUGCUGGCAUAUGAACUGGUAGGGCGGUAUAUUGAUGACGGUGAGAUCCUGAGCAAUUCUUGUUUCAAAUCUGUUGCAGAGUUCAUCACAUUAGAUAGGUUAGUUUCUAUGAGAGAAAAUCUAGUUGAGAUGUUUAGCUCACCUGAAUGGGUUUCCUCUGAUCGGUCUACUAGAAUGUUUAACCCACUUGAUUGGAUUUCCUCUGGUUUCUCUACUACUACAAGUUUGUUCAGGCAUAUCUGUGGCAUAGUAAAGACAGAUGAUGCAUUUUGGUGUGCUGCUGCUGAUGUUUUGAAGAUUACAAAACCAUUUAUCGAUGUGUUGCUUAAACUAGAAUCUGAGGACUGUCCAAUGGGUAUCUUGUAUGACACCAUGGCAAGUGCAAAAGACAUAGUGCACAAUCUUGGAGAUAAAUAUGGUGAUAUUUUGCAUUGGGUUGAUGAGAUAUGGUAUGGUUACUUGCAUACCCCACUCCAUGCUGCUGGUCAUAUGCUAAACCCAAGGGUCUUUUACAAAGAUCCUUCCUGUGAUGAUCCUGAGCUCAGCGGUCGUAUUGAGGCCUGCACAACCGCAAUUGCAAAAGGACAUUAUGAUCCAGGGAGACUGAAAGCACAAAUUGAAGUAUAUAAAGGAAGAUCAGGUUCUUUUGGUUCAGAUUCAGCAAUUCAGCAAAUAGUGGGGACACCACAAGUUGUUUGGUGGUCGGCGCAUGGGACAGGCACGCCUGAGCUGCAGAGCUUUGCCACUCGGGUCUUACGCCAAACAUGCUUUGGCGCUAAAAGAUACAACAUCAGCAGUCAGGUAUCGGAGGAGGCGCAUGAGACGAGGGGAGCUGAUCUCGAAGGGCUGUACCGUGGGCUGGAGUACGUCCACUACAACAGGCGUUUCGCCAGCGCGGCACCACUCAUAGGCGGUCUUUCGGGGGAUCAGUGUGGUAAACCUGGCAGGAAGCUGGGGAGCGACUGGUUCCUGUAUCCGCGGCACCGACAGCAUAUCGUAAUCGGAUCAUCGAACACAUAG
rnacentral:rRNA from 1 species